AAAGGGUUUUGAAUAGGUUAUUUAUGCAUAUCAAGUGGAUUUUUAACCACAAAUACAAUUGGACCAAAGUUACUGUAUUCCGACGAACCAGUAGGUAGAAUGGUGCGCCCCGUGCGAUGAGCUCCCUGGAGUCCACUUUGUGGGGAAUUCACUGGGUUACACUUGACAUUGAUCAUCACGGCUACGGUAUGCUGUUGGAUGAUGUGAGUUUGCCCCCAUCACACACAAAAUAAAACAUAGACGACAACAUGAGUUCACGUGUUUGACUUGAAGCCUGGUAGUAGUAAGAUGUUUCGUCAUGUUUCCGGUAUUGUUCAAAGGGAUUGUAUAAGAGAGAAAUUAUUAAUGCAAAGUGUGGGCUACCUAUAAGAUUAACUUCUGCUGAGGAAUUUACGUUUAGCAAGUUACAUGAUUGUUGUCCCAUAAACGCUAGGAUGACCUUGAAUGUUUGUUUUGAGUAUGAAAUAUAUGCAUAAUUGCGUGUUUUAUAUCUGAACCUACUUAAUCUCAGAGGCUUAAAUUUUGCAAGUGUCCAGCUAAUUUUUCUGUAAAAGAUCUUCAUUUUCAAUGUCAAACAACCUAUGUUGCUUCGGACUCUUCAAAAAAGUCAACGGGUGUAACAUUGAAAGUGAAGAGUCCGCGCAACUUAGCAA